UCGAAGGUAGCAUAAUCAGUAGUCUUUUAAUUGAAGGCUGGAAUGAAUGGUUGGAUGAAAUAUUAACUGUUUCAUUUAAAAUUAUUAUAGAAUUUUAUUUUUUAGUUAAAAAGCUAAAAUUUUAUUAAAAGACGAGAAGACCCUAUAAAUCUUUAUAUUUUAUAUGCAUAUUAAUUAUUUAGAUAUAUUAAAUUAUUAUUUAAUAAAAUAUUUUAUUGGGGUGAUAUUAAAAUUUAAAAAACUUUUAAUUUUUAUUUAACAUAAAUAUAUGAAUUAAUGAUCCAUUAUUAAUGAUUAAAAAUUUAAGUUACUUUAGGGAUAACAGCGUAAUUUUUUUGGAGAGUUCAUAUCGAUAAAAAAGAUUGCGACCUCGAUGUUGGAUUAA
rnacentral:rRNA from 1 species